UACGUAGGUGGCAAGCGUUGUCCGGAUUUAUUGGGUUUAAAGGGUGCGUAGGCGGCUUUGUAAGUCAGUGGUGAAAUAUGGCAGCUCAACUGUCAAGGUGCCAUUGAUACUGCGGAGCUUGAGUACAGAUGAGGUAGGCGGAAUUGACGGUGUAGCGGUGAAAUGCUUAGAUAUCGUCAAGAACACCUAUAGCGAAGGUAGCUUACUAGGCUGUAACUGACGCUGAGGCACGAAAGUGUGGGAUCAAACAGG
rnacentral:rRNA from 1 species